rnacentral:rRNA from 1 species
UACGGAAGGCAGCAGUGGGGAAUAUUGCACAAUGGGCGAAAGCCUGAUGCAGCUAUGCCGCGUGUAUGAAGAAGGCCUUAGGGUUGUAAAGUACUUUCAUCGGGGAGGAAAAACAAAACUAAUAAUUUUAUUUCUUGACGUUACCCGAAAAAGAAGCACCGGCUAACUCCGUGCCAGCAGCCGCGGUAAUACGGAGAGGGCUAGCGUUAUUCGGAAUUAUUGGGCGUAAAGAGCGCGUAGGCUGAUUAGUAAGUUAAAAGUGAAAUCCCAAAGCUUAACUUUGGAAUUGCUUUUUAAAACUGCUAGUCUAGAGAUUGAAAGAGGAUAGAGGAAUUCCUAGUGUAGAGGUGAAAUUCGUAAAUAUUAGGAGGAACACCAGUGGCGAAGGCGUCUAUCUGGUUCAAAUCUGACGCUGAGGGCGCGAAGGCGUGGGGAGCAAACAGGGAUUAGAUACCCGU